rnacentral:rRNA from 1 species
GACGAACGCUGGCGGCGUGCUUAACACAUGCAAGUCGAACGAUGAAGCUGGAGCUUGCUCCGGUGGAUUAGUGGCGAACGAGUGAGUAACACGUGAGCAAUCUGCCCUUGACUCUGGGAUAACUGCGGGAAACUGUAGCUAAUACCGGAUAUGAGAUCUGAAGGCAUCUUCGGGUUUGGAAAGAAUUUCGGUCAAGGAUGAGCUCGCGGCCUAUCAGCUAGUUGGUGAGGUAAUGGCUCACCAAGGCGACGACGGGUAGCCGGCCUGAAAGGGUGACCGGCCACACUGGAACUGAGACACGGUCCAGACUCCUACGGGAGGCAGCAGUGGGGAAUAUUGCACAAUGGGCGAAAGCCUGAUGCAGCAACGCCGCGUGAGGGAUGAAGGCCUUCGGGUUGUAAACCUCUUUUAGCAGGGAAGAAGCGAAAGUGACGGUACCUGCAGAAAAAGCACCGGCUAACUACGUGCCAGCCGCCGCUGUAA